ACUUGAUGGUGGGGACAUUUAUGCAAAAGGUCCCUAAAGCGCUCCCAAGUUUUGAAAAAUUGUUUACCAUCUAUCUGUGAGAAAUUGGUGAUUGCUUUCCUAAACU